rnacentral:rRNA from 1 species
AUACGGAGGGUGCAAGCGUUAAUCGGAAUUACGGGGCGUAAAGCGUACGUAGGCGGUUCGUUAAGUUAGAUGUGAAAGCCCCGGGCUUAACCUGGGAACUGCAUUUAAAACUGGCGAACUAGAGUUGAGUAGAGGGGAGUGGAAUUUCAGGUGUAGCGGUGAAAUGCGUAGAGAUCUGAAGGAACACCAGUGGCGAAGGCGGCUCCCUGGACUCAAACUGACGCUGAGGUACGAAAGCGUGGGUAGCAAACGGGAUUAGAAACCCCGGUAGUCC